GNNCGCCGCGCCCCGCGCCCGUCCCGCCGCCCCCGCCCGACGGGGUGCAGCAGGCGCGAAACCUUUACACUGCACGACAGUGCGAUAGGGGGAUCCCAAGUGCACAGGCAUAGCGCCUGUGCUUUUNGGUACCCUAAGGCGGUACCAGAAUAAGGGCUGGGCAAGACCGGUGCCAGCCGCCGCGGUAAUACCGGCAGCCCAAGUGAUGGCCGAUCUUAUUGGGCCUAAAGCGUCCGUAGCUGGCCGCGCAAGUCCAUCGGGAAAUCCACCUGCUCAACAGGUGGGCGCCCGGUAGAAACUGCGUGGCUUGGGACCGGAAGGCGCGACGGGUACGUCCGGGGUAGGAGUGAAAUCCCGUAAUCCUGGACGGACCGCCGAUGGCGAAAGCACGUCGCGAGAACGGAUCCGACAGUGAGGGACGAAAGCCAGGGUCUCGAACCGGAUUAGAUACCCGGGUAGUCCUGGCCGUAAACAAUGUCUGCUAGGUGUGGCUCCCACUACGAGUGGGUGCUGUGCCGUAGGGAAGCCGCUAAGCAGACCGCNGNU
rnacentral:rRNA from 1 species